rnacentral:tRNA from 1 species
AGGGUUAUAGUUAAAAAUUUAUAACAUUUGAUUUGCAUUCAAAAAUUAUUUAAUUAAAUAAAUUUACCUUG